rnacentral:rRNA from 1 species
UGGUGGCGAGUGGCGGACGGGUGAGUAAUGCAUCGGAACGUACCUAGUAAUGGGGGAUAACUAUCCGAAAGGAUAGCUAAUACCGCAUACGCCCUGAGGGGGAAAGCGGGGGAUCGUCAAGACCUCGCGUUAUUAGAGCGGCCGAUGUCGGAUUAGCUAGUUGGUGGGGUAAAGGCCCACCAAGGCGACGAUCCGUAACUGGUCUGAGAGGACGACCAGUCACACUGGAACUGAGACACGGUCCAGACUCC